UCCGAAUUAGCUCAGCGGUAGAGUAGGUGACUGUUAAUCACUUGGUCACUGGUUCGAAUCCAGUAUUCGGAG
rfam:Helicobacteraceae bacterium CG1_02_36_14 cg1_0.2_scaffold_1249_c, whole genome shotgun sequence.